UAGGUAUCUCAUUGUGUAUGGCCCAUA
rnacentral:piRNA from 1 species